AUGCACGCUGGCGGCGUGCCUAAUACAUGCCAGUCGAGCGAACGGACGAGAAGCUUGCUUCUCUGAUGUUAGCGGCGGCCGGGUGAGUAACACGUGGAUAACCUACCUAUAAGACUGGGAUAACUUCGGGAAAUCGGAGCUAAUACCGGAUAAUAUUUUGAACCGCAUGGUUCAAAAGUGAAAGACGGUCUUGCUGUCACUUAUAGAUGGAUCCGCGCUGCCUUAGCUAGUUGGUAAGGUAACGGCUUACCAAGGCAACGAUGCAUAGCCGACCUGAGAGGGUGAUCGGCCACCCUGGAACUGAGACACGGUCCGGACUCCUACGGGAGGAAGCAGUAGGGAAUCUUCCGCAAAGGGCGAAAGCCUGACGGAGCAACGCCGCGUGAGUGAUGAAGGUCUUCGGAUCGUAAAACUCUGUUAUUAGGGAAGAACAUAUGUGUAAGUAACUGUGCACAUCUUGACGGUACCUAAUCAGAAAGCCACGGCUAACUACGUG
rnacentral:rRNA from 1 species